rnacentral:rRNA from 1 species
ACGCUCGACACCUACGGAGGCAGCAGUGGGGAAUAUUGCACAAUGGGGGGAACCCUGAUGCAGCGACGCCGCGUGAGUGAAGAAGUACUUCGGUAUGUAAAGCUCUAUCAGCAGGGAANAAAAUGACGGUACCUGACUAAGAAGCCCCGGCUAACUACGUGCCAGUAGCCGCGGUAAUCUGAGCGGGCUGGCAAGGC